UUCACAUCCCUCCAUGUGGAUCCGUGUUUGUUUAAACGAGGCAGUAUUAAAAAUAUCCAAGGGAGAUGUCGUUCUCUGGAUUGGGGACUCAGUGCCAUCAGCGGGGGCAGCGCCGGCACAAAAGGUCUUUGGGCUUCUCAGAAACCCAAACUACACCAGCUCCAGAAACAGCAGCUCCAUGAAGCCGCCUGUGUCCGGGCAUUCGUGCUGUAUGGCUGCGAUGGGAAACGGUUUCUGGCCCCUGACAGAGACGUGGCUGGACAGACACUUGUUCUCGCCAGCCCAGGGACUGAUGCAGCAAGGGAGACAAACCUGCUUGUGAGCGCCUGAGCACGACAUAAUGAGCAAUAUCCGAAUUGCAUGACAAAUAUUCCAAGAGGAGUGAUUUGGACAGCCUGGCUCUGGGCUGACCAAAGCCAAGCGCCGACCCCACCACGCCGUGGCCACUGAAUCCCGCUUUGCAGCCCUGUGAACGCCUGAGGAAAUCCAGGAGCUCAACCCACUGUACUUGUCACCACUUUUUGCUCUGCUACCAUCUCCAGUCAGCAGAACUCCAUUUGCUGCCACGUUUCUCCAUCAUCACAAGGUGGGACAAGUUUGUUUCUCUGCCAAAUGCGCCGGGUAUUCCCAAGUACACGGAGCUUUACAUGCCCUGAAAUGUCCCCAAAGCGGCCAGGUACAAGGCACCUGUUCCCACUAAUGAUGCGGUUACGUCGAGGAACAUGGGACUUGUUUGGUUGCCAAAGAUUACAGGUGCGCUGGGUUAAAAGGCAUCUGCUUAGCCAAGCACAUCCAGACAGAAACAACCUGCUGUGCUUAUAGACGUUAUAGAGGCAGCAGGAGCAGAGACAGGAGAUUCACCCACCAGCUGCGACGCUUCCAAACGCCGUGGCCGGGAACAGCUUAUUUCCCUUUCCCGUGCCUCGGUUUCCCCAAAGUGGGGACGCAGCGGAUGAUUUCCUGUCCAACGCAUCCGGAGCUGCUGCUGGAUAUCUACGUGAAUAUCACAAAACACCACAUCCACGUGAAAAGAGAACACACUCUGCUGUGCCACACUCUGCAGCGGAAUAGCCAAGCACACACAACCGAUCGCUCUGUUACGGGGCUUCGCGUACAGCACGAAGAGGCAGAUUCUGCCCUAUUUUGGUGUGUCGCGCGAACACACUGUGAUGCGUGAUUACUUCUGUCCUGGACAUAUUUUUUUAAUCAGAAGCUAACCAGGAAAAAUAGAAAGGAGAGCAGGCAUCUGCUUUUAUUAGCAGAUUUAGUAGCUUUGGUCAAUGUCAGUUUUCAAUAUUUAUUAAAGA